rnacentral:rRNA from 1 species
CCUACGGGUGGCAGCAGUGGGGAAUAUUGGACAAUGGGGGGAACCCUGAUCCAGCCAUGCCGCGUGUGUGAAGAAGGCCCUCGGGUUGUAAAGCACUUUCAGUGAGGAAGAACGCCUGGUGGUUAAUACCCAUCAGGAAAGACAUCACUCACAGAAGAAGCACCGGCUAACUCCGUGCCAGCAGCCGCGGUAAUACGGAGGGUGCGAGCGUUAAUCGGAAUUACUGGGCGUAAAGCGCGCGUAGGUGGCUUGAUAAGCCGGUUGUGAAAGCCCCGGGCUCAACCUGGGAACGGCAUCUGGAACUGUCAAGCUAGAGUGCAGGAGAGGAAGGUAGAAUUCCCGGUGUAGCGGUGAAAUGCGUAGAGAUCGGGAGGAAUACCAGUGGCGAAGGCGGCCUUCUGGACUGACACUGACACUGAGGUGCGAAAGCGUGGGUAGCAAACAGGAUUAGAUACCCCUGUAGUC